AAUUGUCAACUCUCUGUGUUCUAAGACGAUACCCUGGCCUUGACUCAGUACAACCUAGGACUGUAAGUCCCAUCAUGUCUAUGGACUUCAGUUUCCAGACAUGAAACACAAGAGGCUUGGACGAGAUUAGAAAUCAAGAACUCGAAUGCGUAUGGUCAGAGCCACGAGAGUUUCCAUAAAGGAACACAACCAUGUGGACAACUUGAUUAUGCCCUACAAAACUCCAUCCAUGUAUGAUGUGACUUGCUCCUACAUGC
rnacentral:lncRNA from 1 species